CAACCUGGGAAUGGCAUUUCAAACUGCCAAACUUGAAUGCAGCAGAGGGCAGUGGAAUUCCAGGUGUAGCGGUGAAAUGCGUAGAUAUCUGGAGGAACACCAGUGGCGAAGGCGACUGCCUGGGCUGACAUUGACGCUGAGGUGCGAAAGCGUGGGUAGCAAACAGGAUUAGAUACCCUGGUAGUCCACGCUGUAAACGCUGAGAACUAGUCGUUGGGGCUAUUAAAGCCUUAAUGACCCAACUAACGCGAUAAGUUCUCCGCCUGGGGAAUACGGACGCAAGGUUAAAACUCAAAUGAAUUGACGGGGGCCCCCACAAGCGGUGGAGCAUGUGGUUUAAUUUCACGCAACGCGAAAAACCUUACCUGGUCUUGACAUCCUGCGAACUUGGUUGAGAUACCUUGGUGCCUUCGGGGAGCGCAGUGACAGUGUGCUGCAUGGCCGUCCUCCUCUCGUGUCGUGAGAUGUUGGUGAUAAGUCCCGUAACGAGCGCACCCCUUGUCCUUAUUUGCCAGCUGUCCGGCCGGGAACUCUAUGGAUACUGCCGGUGACCCAGCGGAGGAAGGUGGGGAUGACAUCUCGUCAUCCUGGCUCCUUACGGGCCACGGCUACACACCUGCUACGAUGGGGCGCACAGAGAGCAGCAACGCGCGCGAGUGCCAGAUCCUCCCUUAAAAACUUCCUCGUACUGCAGGGAUCGGAAGUCUG
rnacentral:rRNA from 1 species